GAUGAACGCUGGCGGCGUGCCUAAGACAUGCAAGUCGAAAGGGUUUAGACCCUUGGCGAACGGGUGAGUAACGCGUGGGUACUUCCAUUAAGUUGAGCAUAACCCGCCGAAAGGCGGGAUAAUACUCGAUGUGGCCGCAAGGCUAAAGUCGCAAGACGCUUAAUGCAAGGCCCGCGUCCCAUCAGCUAGUUGGUAAGGUAAUGGCUUACCAAGGCUAUGACGGGUAGCGGAACCGAGAGGUUGAUCCGCCACACUGGGACUGCGACACGGCCCAG
rnacentral:rRNA from 1 species